AACGAACGCUGGCGGCAUGCCUAACACAUGCAAGUCGAACGAGACCUUCGGGUCUAGUGGCGCACGGGUGCGUAACGCGUGGGAACCUGCCCUUAGGUUCGGAAUAACUCCCCGAAAGGGGUGCUAAUACCGGAUAAUGUCUUCGGACCAAAGAUUUAUCGCCUUUGGAUGGGCCCGCGUUGGAUUAGCUAGUUGGUAGGGUAAAAGCCUACCAAGGCGACGAUCCAUAGCUGGUCUGAGAGGAUGAUCAGCCACACUGGGACUGAGACACGGCCCAGACUCCUACGGGAGGCAGCAGUGGGGAAUAUUGGACAAUGCGCGAAAGCCUGAUCCAGCAAUGCCACGUGAGUGAUGAAGGCCUUAGGGUUGUAAAGCUCUUUUACCCGGGAUGAUAAUGACAGUACCGGGAGAAUAAGCUCCGGCUAACUCCGUG
rnacentral:rRNA from 1 species